GCAGGGGUCGCCUAGCCUGGUCAAUGGCGCGAGGCUUAGAACCUCGUCCCGUAGGGGUUCGUGGGUUCAAAUCCCACCUCCUGCACCA
rnacentral:tRNA from 1 species